rnacentral:rRNA from 1 species
CGUAGGGUAACACUUUAGAUCACCACCUAUGAGACUUCACUCAUGGCGUUGAUCCUAAGUCUUGGUUGAGACAUACAGAGAGGUAAGAGUUUAGUGUUCAAUAACACUCUGCAUGACUGCAUCACAUAUCAACUAACCAGACUGCUGACCCUGUAUAAACUAGCAUGAAUCUGACAGUACAUUUAGGCGGAGUUGCUGUGCCUAGGCCCAGAAGACCCCCUCUCUGUUUUUUAUUUCGAACAUUGACCCCUGAAUUCCUAGACCCUGAACUGAGACACUCGGCGGUACAAGUGCACCAGCCAUUGAGAUGCUCACCUUCCUGUGAGGGAAGUGGAGGUGAUGAGCUGUCCUCCCAUGAAGAGCACACCAACCUGCGGCAGCUCCAUCUCCUGCUGCAUGCCUGACAGUGGCCAAACAAAGGCAGGCCUCUCAAAUGGGGGAGUCGGGGCAGGCGCUCCACCGAUUAGCACCUGCACCGCCGUCCGCAUGGACGGUCGAUCCCUCGGGUUCGGGUGGCAGCAAGCCAAGGCCAGCCGCACCACAGAAUCCACCUGCAUCUCGUCAUACACUCCUCCAAGCACCGUGUCGGCUGUCUCCAUGACUUUCCCCAGGCUGUAAUGCCUCCAGACCCAAUCCACAAUGUACAUUUCUUGUGUGUCAUAUAGCAUCGACCUGCUUGGGCUCUUCCCUCUGACAACUUCCAUGGCAAAGACGCCGAAGGCGUACACGUCCGUGUCGAGGCUGGCACGACCGGUGAAGAAGCUCUCGUGCGCCAUGUAGCCCCGAGUGCCCGCAACCGCCUGCGUUGAGUGGUGUGUCGCUCCAUCGAGCUGGAUGGCACGGGCGAGGCCGAAGUCGCCCAGCCGCACCUUGUAUGCCUCGUCGAGCAUCACGUUGCUGGGCUUGACGUCCCUGUGGAGGAUCCUCUUGCUGCUCCCGUGGUGAAGGU